rnacentral:tRNA from 2 species
CCUUGGUUAACUCAGUUGGUAGAGCGCUCCACUGGAAAUGGAGAGGUCCCGGGUUCGAUACCCGGACCAGGCG